CUAUUGAUGACUGUGCCUCUAGUCCAUGUGAAUCUAGCUCAUGACUAGAUCCACACUCAUCCAUAGAA
rnacentral:precursor_RNA from 1 species